AAAUGUUGACCUCGGAUCAGGUAGGAAUACCCGCUGAACUUAAGCAUAUCAAUA
rnacentral:rRNA from 1 species